rnacentral:rRNA from 1 species
GACGAACGCUGGCGGCGUGCUUAACACAUGCAAGUCGAACGGAAAGGCCCUGCUUUUGUGGGGUGCUCGAGUGGCGAACGGGUGAGUAACACGUGAGUAACCUGCCCUUGACUUUGGGAUAACUUCAGGAAACUGGGGCUAAUACCGGAUAGGAGCUCCUGCUGCAUGGUGGGGGUUGGAAAGUUUCGGCGGUUGGGGAUGGACUCGCGGCUUAUCAGCUUGUUGGUGGGGUAGUGGCUUACCAAGGCUUUGACGGGUAGCCGGCCUGAGAGGGUGACCGGCCACAUUGGGACUGAGAUACGGCCCGAACUCCUCCGGGAGGAGGCAGUGGGGAAUAUUGCAAAAUGGGCGGAGGCCUGAUGAAGCAACGCGGCGUGCGGGAUGACGGCCUUCGGUUUGUAAACCGCUUUCGCCGGUGCCGAAGCGUGAGUGACGGUAAUGGGUAAAGAAGCACCGGCUAACUACGUG